AAGACUAUAGACCUGCGGAGUACCUGCGGAGGGAUCAUUACAGGACUCGCAAGACUCCUACAACCCUGUGAACCUACUAUACGAACGUUGCUUCGGCGGGUGCGCCCCGGGGAUUCGUUCCCGCGGCGCGUCAGCCCGCCGGCAGCCUACAAAUUCUGUUUCUUUGCGUUGGCAUCUCGAGAAAAACAAAUAAGUUAAAACUUUUAACAAUGGAUCUCU
rnacentral:misc_RNA from 1 species